rnacentral:lncRNA from 1 species
GGGAACAUAACACAAUCCACUAAGCAUAACAUUUUUGUAGUUAGUUUUGCAAUACAAUCAACAACUUUGUUACAAGACUUGGGAAUACAUCUGAAACAAGUAUUAAAAGGACUGGUUAAAUAAAAAUCUCAGCUUCAACUUCACGAGAUUUCCAAUACAAUGAAAGGUCAUCUUUAAAAGAAGUGAUCAGAUCGUUGCUGUCAAUUUCAAACACCACAUCACUCCACUUUCUUCUUGCAAUCAAUGAAGCUACAAGACGAACCGCUAAAUCUUCUGCAACCUGAACAGAAGGGGUAAUAAGAAUAGCAUUUGCAUAUUCGAUAUGUUGGAAAAUGUCCCCAAAUUGUAGUAAACAUGUAACUGCUUUCUAUGUAUUUGAACAAUGAAUAAAUAAAUAAAGUUAAUUUCACAUUUCAUUACUAUAUCUUUUUUGUUUUUGUCUUUCAUGUUUCACAUACAUAGCAAAAUUGUGACAAGAAAAUUUUAGCUCAUUGAUUUUCUAAGUUCAAACUGAUGAUAAGUGGCACUGCAAGAACGUUUACAUUACGAGAAAGACAACUUACUUCAGUAGAUAAUCUAAACGAGUCUAUAGUCUCGUAAAAGAAUCAAAGUAAGCAUUUGAUACAAAUAUUUAGAAGGAUUAUUAUGUCGCCUAAAAUUUCAAUUGGGGAGAUAGCUAGUCUUGGCUAUCGGAGUAGUUGACUCCACAGAUAGAGACAUAGAUGUAAUUAUUGGAGGAAUAAUACAUUGGACUAGGCCCAAGAUGAAUUAAUUCUGAAUCCGUUUGUGAAUUAAUUCACUUGUGACGUUCAUGGUGUGAUUUACCUAAAUCCUGAGUUAGUCACUGACCAUGCGUAUGCAACUCAUGUGUUUUGAUAUUAGUGGAGGCUUAUGCUCUAAAGAUGAUUGAGCCCAUAGCCGGUAUGUUAGGUACAUGACUUGUGUAUGACAUGACUUCACUAGAAACAGUGGAAUUCAUAGCUCGAUUAAAAAGUUAAUGAUAUCUUCUCAUUGACAUUGUGUGGAUUGAUAAAUAUGGAACGUGGCCACGAGUUGUCACAAUCAUUUGUUGACAAUGAUCAUAUUAAUCAUUAAGAAUACACAAUGAUGAAAAUCAGAUAAAAUAGGAUUAUAUUGAGUGAAUGAAUUUAACUCAAAAGAAUCAAAGAUAUUGUAUGAGGGUAACAUACACAUGACAAGGUAAUUGGACAAAGCAGUUGGAUGAAUUGCUUUCGUAAAGAGUAUACAAUAAGGAGUUUUCAAUCAUGGUACUUCUUGUGGACUGGCUCUAUGGUUAAGUAAAUUACAAAUUCUUGGAACGAUGCUUCUGGACAUAAUUGUAAUUACUAGAGCCUAAAUGUAUAUGUGCGAUUGGUAACACCGCUAUCUCCAUGAAAGCUUGAUCGGACUGCAUUUGAAUCAGGAGAAAAUUCUACGACUUUAGAAAUAAUUUAAUUGAGUUGAUUUAUUCGAUAUGGAAUUAAAUUAGGCAAUCGUGAGAAUUUUUCAAGUAGAGAAUUUGAUUAAAGAAUUUUAUUAAAAAAUUAAUUUUGGAAAAUUUCAGUGAUUUUUGAGAAAAUUAAUUUUGAUCAAAUAAAAUUAAAUUAAUCGAAUUAAAUAAAAUUAAUAUAAUAUUUUUAAAAAUUAAUUUUCAAGUCAGGCAAUUGGCCCAAUGGGUAAUUGAACUUGAAAAUUGGACCUAAGAUCGAAAAUUAGUCCCGAGAACCCAAAAUUGAGACUGAGACCCAAAAACUAGUCAAGCUAGACCUCGUAUGUGAAACCAGGCCAACAGUCCAACCGGUGGUAAGAUCAGACCAGUUAGGCCAUCACUAGGCUCGGACUGAACCGAGAACAAUUGAACCAGCUCGAGGUGUCGCACCUAUGAUGGCACCACCGGGCACAACAAUACCGACGACGGCGACGAUGACAUUCCAGUGGCCAAUGAUUUGUCCUUUGACGGAUGAGCAGUGGAAGAAUCACACUCCUAUUAGGAUUCUACCGGAUUAUUUGAUUUCUAAUUAACUAUUUCAAAAAUAAUAUUAUUUUAAUAAUUUUAAUAAUAAUUUUAAUUUAAUACGUAUCUUGAUAGUAUUUUAUUAAUUUAAUAUUGAAGUGAUUAUCUUAAUAUUAAAUUAAAUUUAAUAUUUAUUUUGUAGAUAAAUAUUAUUUUAAUUAAAUAGAUUUAAUAUUAAAUUUAAUCUAAUAUUUAUCUUGAUAACUAUUAUAUUAAUUUAAUAUUAAAGUGAUUAAGUUUAAUAAUAGUUGAACUCUCUAAGCUCUCUCUAUAUAAAAAGAGCCACAAGUAAUUAUUUUUCACACAUUUGAAUUUAAGAGAAAGUUGUAGAGAGAAAAUUCUCUUAAGAAAUUAUUUCAGAAGAUUUCUAAAUAUAUAUUUCUUAUUUACAACUUGACAUAGAAGUUGAGAGAAACUGCAAAAUUACCUUACUAGUAAUUUUGUGAAAACUUUUCUGAUUCAAAGCGAGCCCAUAAUCAGAAGACGUGAGCUUGAGGAUAACGGAGAAGACUACUCAGUUGAAGCGUUCAUCCUAAAUGAAUCAAAAGGUUUAAUUUUAAUUAAGUAUUUAUUAAUUUAGAUAUUACAACAAAGUUCUUAUUUUUGGAAAAUUUUUAAAACUCUAGUUUUUCCCUUAAACUUAUUUUUCGCUAUGUUUUCCAAACCCGAUUUUCCUACACAAUAAUCAUCGCAUUUUAAUCCCUGGAUAUGGUAGUUGUCCUUGCUAUCUUUAUUUAGGAGCACCGAGAUGCGUCAAAAUUAAUUUUAAUACCACCUUAGCCAGGGGAUAUCUAUUAAGAGGUAGAAAUGGCUGACAACAGUCUACGAACUUCCAAAGUCAAGUUUAAUUCUUCAGCUUCUUUUAUAGCUUUGUGCCAAAUGUUUAAAGGAUUUUCUUUGGUACCUUCAAAGAUCAACUGAUUUCUAGUAUUCCAUAAGUUUCAACAAAUAUAGGCCAACAACCCCACAUGUUUGGUCCACCAAAGGUAUACUUCAAGAAGAGAUGUGCUGGAGAGUUGGCACUAGUACAAACAAUCCAGUUAGACUCUGCAUGGCUACCUAGUUCGGUUGAUUUCAGAGUUGCAAGAAAUGACAAUUUGAUGGUGGCAGAUCUGAUCUAUGAAGAUUCAAGGCAGUGGAAAGGGACAUAAUAGAAAAUGCAUUUGACGAGGUAGAUGCCAAUAGGAUCAUGGCCAUCCCUCUGGCGAAGACCCCAUAUACUGAUUUUUUAAUUUGGCGAGGUGAACCCACUGGUGUUUUUUCUGAUCGUAGUGCCUACAAAUAGAUUUUAUAGAAAUUUGCUAGUUUGAAACAAUUACAAGACCAGGCAAAUUACAGUCAAUUUUACAAGCAACUAUGAGAUUUAAAUUUGCCUUCCAAAUUAAAAAUUACAAUAUGGAGGAGCUCAAAAUUUUUUAUCCCUAGUAUUAGUAAUCUUCACUAUAAAAGAUUGACGAGUAGUACUGCAUGCCCAAAAUGUAGAGAGAUGGUUGAGUCCAGAAAGUAUAUAUUCAAAGACUGUGCUACGACAAAAGACAUAUGGCAGUGGAUAAAAUGUGCAUGACCAAUUGAACUAGAAAGAACGAGAUUCAUGGAGUGGAUUACCUGGCUCUUUGCUAAUAAUCCUACUCGGCAGUGUCGUUUUAUUGCAUGUGUGAUUUGGGCGCUAUGGACUGAUAGAAAUAAAUGGGUUCAUAAACGAAAAAGAAGAUCAAGGGUUGAACUAGAUAGAUUAGUGAAAGAUUACAUUACAGAGUUGGCUGGGCUAGAGAAUGCCCUACCUAGGCCAACUUUGAGGCAAAAUAGCAAGAAACUGCCAGUAGAUCCAUUAGUCAGAAUCAAUGUGGAUGUUGCAUAUAAAACUGGAAAACAAGUCCUGUUCAGGCAUAGUGAUAAGGAUUUUCGGGGAAGUAUAGUGGGUUCAAAAGCAGUGCUAAAUAAAAAUGUACCUUCUCUAUUUGCAGUUGAAGCGCUGGCAUGCGCACAAGCGAUGCAGUUGGGUCUAGAUAUGGGGCUAUAGAUUGUCGAGAUAGAAGGAGAUGCAUUAACAAUUAUUAGAAAAUUUUAGAGGAAAAUAGAAGAUAAAUCAUAAAUUCAUGCUAACAUCAAAUAUUGUUUUUGUUUACAAAGAGGUUUUUGGAUCUGUCAUUUCAAGCAUGGAUAUAGGGCUGUAACAAAGUAGUACAUCUGUUGGCUACAGAAGGAAUUAAGAGAGGAGAACAGUGGGAUAUGGAAUAUACAACACCUGAAGAAGUAGCAAUAUAGCAAUGGAUGUGGCGAAGGAUUGUCAAAGGUUCUUAGCUUCCAGUAUUGGAGAAGAUUGGAUCUGAAAGAUCGAAAUCAGAUAAGAUGGAGAGAUGAGGGAGAGGCAGAUGAAAGGGUGAAAGCAUUUCAGAUGGGUGUUUUUAUUAUUGUUAUUUCCAAACAAAAAAUUCAAGAGUCGAGGUAGUUUAUUAAUUGUUGUUGCAAUUGGGUAGAAGAUUCUAGAGCACACUCCUUUGGUUGGUUGUUG